GAGUUUGAUCAUGGCUCAGAACGAACGCUGGCGGCAGGCUUAACACAUGCAAGUCGAGCGAACCUUCGGGUUAGCGGCGGACGGGUGAGUAACGCGUGGGAACGUGCCCUUCUCUGCGGAAUAGCCUCUGGAAACGGAGAUUAAUAUAAGCAUACGCCCUUCGGGGGAAAGAUUUAUCGGAGAGGGAUCGGCCCGCGUUAGAUUAGGUAGUUGGUGGGGUAAUGGCCUACCAAGCCUACGAUCUAUAGCUGGUUUUAGAGGAUGAUCAGCCACACUGGGACUGAGACACGGCCCAGACUCCUACGGGAGGCAGCAGUGGGGAAUCUUAGACAAUGGGGGAAACCCUGAUCUAGCCAUGCCGCGUGAGUGACGAAGGCCUUAGGGUCGUAAAGCUCUUUCGCCAGGGAUGAUAAUGACAGUACCUGGUAAAGAAACCCCGGCUAACUCCGUGCCAGCAGCCGCGGUAAUACGGAGGGGGUUAGCGUUGUUCGGAAUUACUGGGCGUAAAGCGCACGUAGGCGGACUGUUAAGUCGGGGGUGAAAUCCCGGGGCUCAACCCCGGAACUGCCUUCGAUACUGGCAGUCUAGAGUUC
rnacentral:rRNA from 1 species